rnacentral:rRNA from 1 species
AGCCUUUUUUAACUUUUGACCUCGGAUCAGGUAGGGAUACCCGCUGAACUUAAGCAUAUCAAUAAGCGGAGGAAAAGAAACCAACAGGGAUUGCCCUAGUAACGGCGAGUGAAGCGGCAACAGCUCAAAUUUGA